rnacentral:tRNA from 2 species
GGGGCUGUAGCUCAGUUGGGAGAGCGCACGGUUCGCAUCCGUGAGGUCAGGGGUUCGACUCCCCUUAGCUCCA